ACGUAAAAUCUGUCACGGUAAACAGUCAAAAAUGAUCAAUCGUGCAAAAAACAUAUUAAAAAAUUAGCAAAAUUAAGCUUUUACGAAGGCUUCGGUGUUGACUGUAUAAAAACAUACUUAACGAUAUUAUGUUCGUCCACUUUCUUCCACAAUUUGGGUUAGACUGAAGCGUUCCUCACUUGUCAGGCUGCCUGCCAUACAGUAUAGUGCCAGUUUUUAGUAAGUACGUCAAUAAAUCGAUAAUUACAAAUUGAUGGUGACUCAGUGGUGGAGCAUUAGACUGCAGAUCGAGAGGUCCCGAGUUCAAAACCAGGCUGUUGCGUACCUUUUUUUAAUUUUUUAAAUAAAUAAUUAAAA
rnacentral:lncRNA from 1 species